GCCGGGAUUUCGGCGGGCUUCCUGAGACAAAAAUGUCUAUGGCUAGCGAUUUCUACCUGCGCUACUAUGUAGGGCACAAGGGCAAGUUUGGACACGAGUUUCUAGAGUUCGAGUUUCGGCCGGACAGAAAGCUUAGAUAUGCCAACAACAGUAAUUACAAAAAUGAUGUCAUGAUCAGAAAAGAGGCCUACGUACACAAGAGUGUAAUGGAAGAAUCGAAGAGAAUUAUUGAUGACAGUGAAAUUACAAAAGAAGAUGAUGCUUUGUGGCCUCCCCCUGACAGGGUUGGUCGACAGGAGCUGGAAAUUGUUAUUGGAGAUGAGCACAUUUCUUUUACCACAUCAAAAAUAGGUUCUCUCAUUGAUGUAAAUCAGUCAAAGGAUCCUGAAGGCCUUCGAGUAUUUUACUACUUGGUACAAGACCUAAAAUGUUUAGUUUUCAGUCUCAUUGGAUUACACUUCAAAAUUAAACCAAUUUAAAUUUUA